CGAACGGGUGAGUAACACGUGAGCAACCUGCCCCAAGCUUUGGGAUAACCCCGGGAAACCGGGGCUAAUACCGAAUAGGACCUGGCCUCGCAUGGGGCUGGGUGGAAAGUUUUUCGGCUUGGGAUGGGCUCGCGGCCUAUCAGCUUGUUGGUGGGGUGAUGGCCUACCAAGGCGACGACGGGUAGCCGGCCUGAGAGGGCGACCGGCCACACUGGGACUGAGACACGGCCCAGACUCCUACGGGAGGCAGCAGUGGGGAAUAUUGCACAAUGGGCGGAAGCCUGAUGCAGCGACGCCGCGUGAGGGAUGACGGCCUUCGGGUUGUAAACCUCUUUCAGCAGGGACGAAGCGUAAGUGACGGUACCUGCAGAAGAAGCACCGGCCAACUACGUGCCAGCAGCCGCGGUAAGACGUAGGGUGCGAGCGUUGUCCGGAUUUAUUGGGCGUAAAGAGCUCGUAGGCGGCUUGUCGCGUCGACUGUGAAAACCCGCAGCUCAACU
rnacentral:rRNA from 1 species